CAAUCCAAUCCAUCAAUUGCGUUCCCUUUCAUUUCACCUUAUAUUUCCAUUCUAUUUCAGUUUAGCCAAUCCAUGAAUCACGUUCCUUCUCAGUUCACCUUAUAUUUCCAUUCUGUUUCAGUUUGAUUGUUAUAUAUACCUUUAUCUUCGGAAACAUUGGAAGUUUGGAAAUUAACGAAACUUGCCAUGUCGAAGAGGAUUCUUUGCAAGUUCUUUUCACAUGGAGCAUGUUUGAAAGGGGAGAACUGUGAGUUCUCUCAUGACUGGAAGGAUCAAUCGAAUAAUAUAUGCACCUUCUAUCAGAGAGGAGUGUGCUCUUAUGGUAGUCGAUGCAGGUAUGAUCAUGUUAAAGUUUCUCGUCCGCAGAAUUCUGUUUCAUCAUCGUCAACAGAUUCUCACCAUCACCCAGCUUCAGAUUCUGUUCAAGUGAUUCGUCCUUGUAGAACUGCUUGGAGUGGGGAAACAACUGAAGUCCUUACUGUUCCUGUAGAGCUAUCAGCUUUGAGUAGACCUUUCUUUCCUCCCACCAGAUCAGCAUGGAGUUGUGAUACUGGAGAUCAUAACUUCUCUGAUGAUGAGAACGAUGGGGAGUCCACAUUCACUCAACCUGCUGACCGGCCUAUAUGUUCAUUUGCUGCUGCUGGUACUUGUCCCCGUGGGGAGAGAUGCCCACAUAUUCAUGGAGACUUAUGUGCCACCUGUGGAAAACAUUGCUUGCAUCCAUAUAGGCCUGACGAAAGAGACGAGCACAUAAAAACAUGUGAAAGAAAUAAAAAACACCUUGAGGCAUUGAAACAUAGUCAAGAAAUAGAGUGCAGUGUGUGUUUAGAUCGUGUUCUUUCAAAGCCCACUGCUGCUGAACGGAAGUUUGGGUUGCUAUCAGACUGUGAUCAUCCCUUCUGCGUAUCCUGUAUCAGAAAUUGGCGUAGCAGUUCCCCGGCCUCUGGCAUGGACAUUAAUACUGCACUGAGGGCCUGCCCAAUAUGUCGCAAACUGUCAUACUUUGUUAUUCCCAGUGUGAUUUGGUAUUCUACAAAGGAAGAAAAGCAGGAGAUCAUUGACAGCUAUAAAGCAAAACUCAGUUCUAUUGAUUGCAGGUAUUUUGACUUCGGAAAUGGGACAUGCCCCUUUGGGACUAGUUGUUUCUACAAGCAUGCCUAUCGUGAUGGUCGCCUGGAAGAAGUUGUUCUGCGGCAUCUUGGAUCUGAAGAUGGAAAUAGUGUAAUUGCUAAAGAUAUAAGGCUUUCUGAGUUCCUUGGUAAUUUGCGUCUAAGGUGAUAAGAACUAGCUGGGGAAGCUUCCAAGGAUAUUCACUGUGGUUUGAAUGAAUUCUACUGAACUCUUAAAAAUCUGCCUCUUCUGACUUGUCUCCAUAUGACGACUCGUUCAGAAUUUGGUUGCUGGGGAUCCAAAAGGUGGACUUACGUGGGGGCAUAUUGAACUGUAUUAAUAAACACCUUUCACUAUAAACAAAGGUGGUUAAGGAAGAAACAGAGAAACAAAAUGGAUGGUAAUGUUGAGGCUCAAGGUUUUUGAGAAUUUCCUUUUGGUGCAUUGUCUCAUGGAUCCCUGGUAGCAUCCUUGAAAUGGUUCACAUUUCACAAUAAUGAGUUAUGAAUGUUGUGAAUGAACGUGGCAAUCGCCAGACCGUCAUUGUUACAUCAAGACUGUAUAUAAAUGGAUAUACAUAUAUAUUUGGAUUUUUCUAUUAAAUUGCUUGAUUAUGAUGAGAUUAUAUAGGAAAAUACCUAUGGAAGUUUUAUGUAUAUGAAUUAUUCUAGAGGAACAAAUACUGCUGUAUGACAUUAGUCAUACUAGCUGACAUGAAGUUGUGCUUUGAAGAGCAGAAGUAA